rnacentral:lncRNA from 1 species
AUGAAAAAAAUAACCUGCAUUCAGUACUCGGGCCUUUAUCAGGAAAGUUCUCCUUUUCUGGAAGCUAUUUGUUACCAUAAGAGCGUGACUAAGCUAGCUAAAGGGGAAGGAUCUUUAUUCCCUGUUAAGAAAGAUCUUUUUCUGCACAAAAUGAAUCCAUUUGGAACCUGGAGUGGAAAACCGUUGCCUUAUGACGAUUCAAACUCCAGAAGGAC